rnacentral:rRNA from 1 species
GACGUAGGGGGCCAGCGUUGUUCGGAAUUACUGGGUGUAAAGGGUUCGUAGGCGGUGUGGCACGUCGGGAGUGAAAUCUCUGGGCUCAACCCAGAGUCUGCUUCCGAAACUGCUGUGCUUGAGUGUGGGAGAGGCGCGUGGAAUUGCAGGUGUAGCGGUGAAAUGCGUAGAUAUCUGCAGGAACACCCGUGGCGAAAGCGGCGCGCUGGACCACUACUGACGCUGAGGAACGAAAGCUAGGGGAGCAAACAGG